UACGAAGGAUGCGAGCGUUAUCCGGAAUUAUUGGGUUUAAAGGGUGCGUAGGCGGACCUGUAAGUCAGUGGUGAAAGCCUGUUGCUUAACAACAGAACUGCCAUUGAUACUGCAAGUCUUGAGUACAGUUGAGGUAGGCGGAAUGUGUCAUGUAGCGGUGAAAUGCUUAGAUAUGACACAGAACACCGAUUGCGAAGGCAGCUUGCUAAGCUGUAACUGACGCUGAUGCACGAAAGCGUGGGGAGCAAACAGG
rnacentral:rRNA from 1 species